UGCGAGUCGAGAGGGUUCGGCCCUCGGCAGACUGCUCAGUAACACGUGGAUAACCUACCCUUAGGUGGAGGAUAAUCUCGGGAAACUGAGAAUAAUACUCCAUAGAUCUAGGCUGCUGGAAUGCAUCUAGAUCAAAAGCUCCGGCGCCUAAGGAUGGGUCUGCGGACUAUCAGGUUGUAGUCAGGGUAAAGACCUGACUAGCCUACGACGGAUAUGGGUUGUGAGAGCAAUAGCCCAGAGACGAUAUCUGAGACACGAUAUCGGGCCCUACGGGGCGCAGCAGUCGCGAAAACUCCGCAAUGCACGAAAGUGUGACGGGGCUACCCCGAGUGCCAUCCGCUGAGGAUGGCUUUUCCUUGGUAUAACUAGCCGAGGGAAUAAGGAGAGGGCAAGACUGGUGUCAGCCGCCGCGGUAAUACCAGCUCUCCGAGUGGUAGGGAUGAUUAUUGGGCUUAAAGCGUCCGUAGCCGGCUUAGCAAGUCUCCCGUUAAAUUCAGCGACCUAAUCGUUGAGCCGCGGGAGAUACUACUAGGCUAGGAGGCGGGAGAGGUCGACGGUACUUCUGGGGUAGGGGCGAAAUCCUAUAAUCCCGGGAGGACCACCAGUGGCGAAGGCUGUCGACUAGAACGCGCUCGACGGUGAGGGACGAAAGCUGGGGGAGCGAACCGGAUUAGAUACCCGGGUAGUCCCAGCCGUAAACGAUGCGGGCUAGGUGUUGGGGUGGCUACGUGCCACUUCAGUGCCGCAGGGAAGCCAUUAAGCCCGCCGCCUGGGGAGUACGGCCGC
rnacentral:rRNA from 1 species